rnacentral:lncRNA from 1 species
UUCAGAGUCACAAUCUGUUAUAGUUUUUAUGCACACUCAUCAAAUUAGUUAGAGUACAAAAUUAUUCUCACAAUUUGUUAUCAUCACAACUUAAGGAUAGUUGUAGAAUCAAACUUGUUCCAACAAUCUCUUCUUGUUUUCAUGUUGAAGAAGAUGAUGGAUGUGUAUGGACCCAAAAGGUUCCUUAUAAUGCUGAAUCUGUG